GUCAGUGUGGCAUGGUGGUUUGAGCCUCAGACUAUGAUUCUGGAGACCAGGAUUCGAAUCCAGGUUCAGCCA